AUGAAGCAAGCAGAUGGUUGUGAGCAGUGCUUAGAAGAUUUACACCAUCUUGCAACUUUAUAACAGUUGCAAAAAAUCAUAGAAUCGUAGAAUUAUAGAGUGGCUUGGGUUGGAAGGGACCUUAAAGACCAGUGAGUUCCAACCCCCUGCCAUGGUCUGGUUGCCACUCACCAUAUCAGGCUGCCCAGGAUCCUAUCCAUCCAUGGCAUCUCCAGCCCCUUGCAGGCAAACCUGGUGCUCCCUGCCCUUCAUACCUGGAUGCUGAAAAGUUCUGGAGGAUUCAAUGGAAGAUGUGUGUGGUCCCCAUUCUUCCCCUGGUGGACAUGCACUGGAGAGUCGUGCUUUGAAGUCUGGACUCCCAGCUUCAUUCAUCUGAGAUAACUCCCUCCAGGAGUACCAAAAUAACAGCUUUGGCUUCAGAAUCAAAUAGGGCUGAAAACAGAAGGCAAAGGAAAACUGCAGUGCCAAAACAGACUGAAAAUUAUGAAAGCAUUUUUGAGUUCCAAGAAGUUAAAAAAAAAAAAGAACCCUGAAAUGAAAUUUGGUAUGUUUUUGCCCAGUAUGUCUUUGUUUUCUCUCCCCAUGAUACUGAGUCACAGCUAAGUACGCCCAUUGGAACUUUAAUAGGAACAAUGUGUUUCUUCUUCUGAGGUGGUAGGGAGUAACAUGAUUCUUAGUUAUUCGGAUAAGCACUUGUGUUCUAUGCAAGUCCUCCUGAUAAAUGCAUGGGUAUUGCUGUUGCUUAGUAUGCUGAACUGGAUUUCAAAGAAUCACUGAAUUGUAGGGGUUGGAAGGAACCUCUGGGAUUGUAAGCAACAAUGCUUUGGGUAUGAAAUAGAGGAGGUGCUGCAUCUGAACAGAAGUCUUAGAAAUUAAUGACAGCUGUUGAUGCAGUGUGGUAAAGGCUAGAGGAGCUUUUUCUCUUGCUAAUAGAGGCCUUGGUAAAAAGUUGCAUUUCUUCCCUGAAGUGUCUGUUGCAUAUUAUCCCAUCUCAGACACGAAUCCUGUACUGACAUCCUUAGUGAUGCUUGAAUAUGCAAGACAGAUGAGGCAGCCACUGCGUGAUUGGCUUGUCUGGGUAAUCUCCAAGGUAAAGUGGAAGGGCACUGUGUAUUUUUCUCUAUUCUGUAGUCCUGAGUAUUGAUUAGUGAACUUUUAACAGCAAAAUUCUGAUGGUUUCUGAUGGUACUAUCCUAAGAAACACAUCUCUAAGCAAUCUGAUUUAUCUGCAGAUGUCUGUUCAUUGCAAAGCAGCUGGAUAGAUGACCAUCAAACACACCUUCCAACUCAAAUGAUUCCAUGAUUCUACGAUUUUUGUUAACCUCCUUUAUGAGCCUGUUGCAAUUUCACAUCUUGAGCUUGAAUUUAAGGAACUUUGGGAGCUUCCUUCAGAGUGUGACUGUAAAAUCUACAUUGCUUGGCAGUCUUUGGGACAGUCAUCCAUCUCCAUCUCCCACUCACAAACUGGGAGACCUGUUCAUGAGUGAUGCACACUCAUCUGGUGAGAUCAUACCUUGAGUACUGUGUAUAACUUCGGGCUUCUCACUACAAGAAAGAUACUGAGGCUC